rnacentral:rRNA from 1 species
CUACGGGACGCUCCAGUGAGGAAUAUUGGCCAAUGGUCGCAAGACUGAACCAGCCAUGCCGCGUGCAGGAAGACGGUCCUAUGGAUUGUAAACUGCUUUUAUACAGGAAGAAACCCUCCCACGUGUGGGAGCUUGACGGUACUGUAGGAAUAAGGAUCGGCUAACUCCGUGCCAGCAGCCGCGGUAAUACGGAGGAUCCAAGCGUUAUCCGGAAUCAUUGGGUUUAAAGGGUCCGUAGGCGGCCUUAUAAGUCAGUGGUGAAAGCCCAUCGCUCAACGAUGGAACUGCCAUUGAUACUGUAAGGCUUGAAUUUUUGUGAAGUAACUAGAAUAUGUAGUGUAGCGGUGAAAUGCUUAGAUAUUACAUGGAAUACCAAUUGCGAAGGCAGGUUACUAACAAACGAUUGACGCUGAUGGACGAAAGCGUGGGGAGCGAACAGGAUUAGAUACCCGGGUAGUC